rnacentral:rRNA from 1 species
UUAGCCUACGGGACGCAGCAGUGAGGAAUAUUGGUCAAUGGGCUUACGCCUGAACCAGCCAAGUCGCGUGAGGGAAGACUGCCCUAUGGGUUGUAAACCUCUUUUGUCAGGGAGCAAUUGGCGCUACGUGUAGCGUUAUCGAGAGUACCUGAAGAAAAAGCAUCGGCUAACUCCGUGCCAGCGGCCGCGGUAAUACGGAGGAUGCGAGCGUUAUCCGGAUUUAUUGGGUUUAAAGGGUGAGUAGGCGGAAUGCCAAGUCAGCGGUAAAUUCGUGGGGCUCA